rnacentral:rRNA from 1 species
AGUGAACGCUGGCGGUAGGCCUAACACAUGCAAGUCGAACGGCAGCACAGUAAGAGCUUGCUCUUACGGGUGGCGAGUGGCGGACGGGUGAGGAACACAUCGGAAUCUACUUUUUCGUGGGGGAUAACGUAGGGAAACUUACGCUAAUACCGCAUACGACCUACGGGUGAAAGCAGGGGAUCUUCGGACCUUGCGCGAUUGAAUGAGCCGAUGUCGGAUUAGCUAGUUGGCGGGGUAAAGGCCCACCAAGGCGACGAUCCGUAGCUGGUCUGAGAGGAUGAUCAGCCACACUGGAACUGAGAAACGGUCCAGACUCCUAGGGGAGGCAGCAGUGGGGAAUAUUGGACAAUGGGCGCAAGCCUGAUCCAGCCAUACCGCGUGGGUGAAGAAGGCCUUCGGGUUGUAAAGCCCUUUUGUUGGGAAAGAAAAGCAGCAGGUUAAUACCCCGCUGUUCUGACGGUACCCAAAGAAUAAGCACCGGCUAACUUCGU